rnacentral:rRNA from 1 species
UACGUAGGGUGCGAGCGUUGUCCGGAAUUAUUGGGCGUAAAGAGCUCGUAGGCGGUGUGUCACGUCGGCCGUGAAAACCUGCAGCUUAACUGUGGGCGUGCGGUCGAUACGGGCAUCACUGGAGUUCGGCAGGGGAGACUGGAAUUCCUGGUGUAGCGGUGAAAUGCGCAGAUAUCAGGAGGAACACCCGUAGCGAAGGCGGCGCUCUGGGCCGGUACUGACGCUGAGGAGCGAAAGCGUGGGGAGCAAACAGG